rnacentral:rRNA from 1 species
AACGAACGCUGGCGGCAGGCUUAACACAUGCAAGUCGAGCGCCCCGCAAGGGGAGCGGCAGACGGGUGAGUAACGCGUGGGAAUCUACCCAUCUCUACGGAACAACUCCGGGAAACUGGAGCUAAUACCGUAUACGCCCUUCGGGGGAAAGAUUUAUCGGAGAUGGAUGAGCCCGCGUUGGAUUAGCUAGUUGGUGGGGUAAUGGCCUACCAAGGCGACGAUCCAUAGCUGGUCUGAGAGGAUGAUCAGCCACACUGGGACUGAGACACGGCCCAGACUCCUACGGGAGGCAGCAGUGGGGAAUAUUGGACAAUGGGCGAAAGCCUGAUCCAGCCAUGCCGCGUGAGUGAUGAAGGCCCUAGGGUUGUAAAGCUCUUUCAACGGUGAAGAUAAUGACGGUAACCGUAGAAGAAGCCCCGGCUAACUUCGUGC